rfam:Triticum aestivum genome assembly, contig: Triticum_aestivum_CS42_TGACv1_scaffold_030512_1BL
AAGCUACUCCCUCCGUCCAGAAAUACUUGUCAUCAAAAUGGGAUAAAACGGGAUGUAUCUAAACGUAUUUUAGUUUGAGAUACAACUUUUUUUAUCCAUUUUGAUGACAAGUAUUUUCAAACGGAGGGAGUACAUU